ensembl:lncRNA
GGAGAAGACUCUUGAGAGUCCCUUGGACUACAAGGAGAUCCAACCAGUCCAUCCUAAAGGAAAUCAGCCCUGGGAUUUCUUUGGAAGGAAUGAUGCUAAAGCUGAAGCUCCAGUACUUUGGCCACCUCACGUGAAGAGUUGACUCAUUGAAAAAGCCUUUGAUGCUGGGAGGGAUUGGGGGCAGGAGAAGAAGGGGACGACUGAGGAUGAGAUGGCUGGAUGGCAUCACUGACUCGAUGAACGCGAGUCUGAGUGAACUCCGGGAGUUGGUGAUGGACAGGGAGGCUUGGCAUGCAGCGAUUCAUGGGGUCGCAAAGAGUCAGACACUACUGAGCGACUGAACUGAACUGGACUGAAGUGUCUUUUUAAUUUCAUGGCUGCAGUCACCAUCUGCAGUGAUUUUGGAGCCCCGCAAAAUAAAGUCUGACACUGUUUCCACUGUUUGCCCAUCUAUUUGCCAUGAACUGAUGGGACCAGAUGCCAUGAUCUUGGAUAUUUGAAUGUUGAAUUUUAAGCAAACUUUUCAUUCUCUUUCAUUUUCAUCAAGAGGCUUUUUAGUUGUUCUUCACUUUCUGCCAUAAGGGUGAUGUUAUUUGUGUAUCUGAGGUUAUUGAUAUUUCUCCCAGCAAUCUUGAUGCCAGCUUGUGCUUCAUCCAGCCCAGCAUUUCUCAUGAUGUACUCUGCAUAUAAGUUAAAUAAGCAGGGUGACAAUAUACAGCCUUGAUGUACUCCUUUCCCAAUUUGGAACCAGUCUGUUGUUUCAUGUCUAGUUCUAAUUGUUGCUUCUUGACCUGCAUACAGAUUUCUCAGGAGGCAGGCAAGGUGAUUUGAUAUUUCCAUCUCUUGAAGAAUUUCCCACCAUUUGUUGUGAUCCACAUUGUCAAAGGCUUUGGCAUAAUAAAUAAAGUAGAAGUAGAUAUUUUGCUGGAACUCUCUUGCUUUUUCUAUGAUCCAACGGAUGUUGGCAAUUUAAUCUCUGGUCCCUCUGUCUUUUCUAAACACAGCUUGAACAUCUGGAAGUUCACACUACAUAAUACUAUUUAUAUCAGGAAUCUAAAACUGUCAGACUCAUAGAAGCAGAGUAGAAUCAUGAUUGCCAGAGGCUGGAGGGAGGGAAAAGUGGGAAAGUAUUAGUCAAAAGGCACAAAGAUUUAGUUAUACAAAAUGAAUAGGUACUGUGUAUUUACUAUGUAGCAUAGUUCUUACUUACAGUUAAUAAUACAUUAUUAUACAUAUAAGUUUUGCCAAGAGGAUGAAUCUUGAAAACAUUUCAGUGUUUUUAUCAUCAGAAAAAUAAUAAAAAGGGCAGGAGGAAACUAUUGGAGGUGAUGGAUAUGCUAAUGGCAUAGAUUGUGUUGAUGGUUUCACCGUAUAUGUCUCUCCAAAGUCAUCAAGUUGUGUAUAUUAAUUAUUUACAGCUUUUGUAUGUCAAUUAUGCCUCUUUUUUUUUUUUUUAGAAAAGACAACUAUGGGUAUAAAAAAAUAAAGGGAAAUGCUACACCUUUCUCUCACUUGAAUAAGUGGAUAAAGAGAACUUACUAUUGACAAAACUGUCAUUUUUUGAAAGCAUGUUGUUUACAAUCUUUAGUACUUGAGCUAUUAUUAUUAAUUCACCUCACAACAGAUUCCAACACAACCGAGUAUUUCAAUCCCAGUUCAAAGUGGAUCAUAAAGCAGCAGAGACAACUCAUACAUCAACAAAGCAUUUAGCCCAGGAAAUACUAACGAAUGUACAGUCCAGUGAUGGUGAAGUUCUGCAAAGGAAACAAGAGCUUUGAAGAUGAGGAGCAUAGAGGCUGGCCCUUGGAAGGUGACAAUCAUUGAGAGCCAUUAUCAAAGCUGAUUCCCUUAAACUACACGAGAUGUUGUGAAGAACUCAAUGUCAACGUUUAAGGUCAUUUGGCAUUUGAAGUAAAUUGGAAAGGUAAAAAAGCUUGGUAAGUGGGUGCCUCAUGACCUGAACACAAAUCAAAAAAAUUGUUGCUUUGAAGUGUCACCUUUUAUUCUACACAACAACAAUGAACCAUUUCUCAAUUGGAUUGUGACAUGAGGUGAAAAGUGGAUUGUAUACAACAACCAGUGAUGACCAGCUCAGCUGAGUGGUUGGAAUGAGAAGUUCCAAAGCACUUCCCAAAGCCAAACUUGCUGCCAAAGAAGGUCAUGGUAACUGUUUGGUGGUCUGCUGCUGGUCUGAUCCACUACAGCUUUCUGAAUGCUGGCAAAACCAUCAUAUCUGAGAAGUAUGCUCAGCAGAUGGAUGAGAUGCACUGAAAAUUUCAACACGUUGGUAAACAGAAAGGGCACAGUUCUUCAUGUCAACACCCAACUGCAUGUUGCGCAAUCAGCUCUUCAAAAGUUUAAUGAAUUGGGUUUCAAAGUUUUGCCUUAUCCACCAGAUUCUCAGGACUGUCCUGUCGCCAACCGACUACCACUUCUUCAAGCAUCUCAACAACUUUUUGCAGGGAAAAUGCUUCCAUAACCAGUCUUUUCAAAUGAGUCAGCUCUUCGCAUCAGGUGGCAAAAGUAUUGGAGUUUCAGCUUCCACACCUAUUUCCACCCUUCACCCUGGUAGGCAACCCUUUCUCUGAUGGCUCAGGACGACUGAAAGCCUCUGCGAAUGUAUAUGAGAGACCCGGACCCUGAGGUUUGAAAUGUAACAUGGAAGUAAACCUUGCCUCUGUUCAAGUUUCUCACCUAUCCGCGAUUAAUAGCUGAUUAUAUCUUUCACAGACUAUAGAAGAUUUUUUAGAGAGAGUUUGAUGGACAAAGAAUUCUGUGAGAGUGGUAAAUUUAAACAACGCUUUGCAUGUUUUCAAAGCAUUUCACUACUGAGAAUAUAUAGUCGUUAUUGUUAGUCUCUAAGUUGUGUCAGACUCUUUUCAGCCCCAUGGACUUCAGCAUGUGAUGAUUCUCUGUCCUUCACUAUCUCCCAGAGUUUGCUCAGAUUCAUGUCCAUUGAGUUGGUGAUACUAUUUAACCAUCUUAUCCUCUGCCAUCCUCUCUGUUACAUAGAUGAAAGUUGUUGUUUUUUCAACGACUAAAGACUUAAGUAAAGUAAUGCUCAAAAUUCUCAAGGCUAGGCUUCAGCAGUAUGUGAACUAUGAACUUCCAGAUGUUCAAGCUGGUUUUAGAAAAGGCAGAGAAACAAGAGAUCAAAUUGCCAACAUUUGCUGGAUCAUCGAACAAGCAAGAGAGUUCCAGAAAAACAUCUAUUUCUGCUUUAUUGACUAUGCCAAAGCCUUUGACUGUGUGGAUCACAACAAACUGUGGAAAAUCCUUCACAAGAUGGGAAUGCCAGAACACCUGACCUGCCUCUUG